GGGGAAGUAAAAAUCGUAACAAGGUUUCCGUAGGUGAACCUGCGGAAGGAUCAUUGUCGAUGCCUUACAUGCAGACCAACACGUGAAUCAGUUUGAACACAUAGGGUUGGUUUGAGGUGUUCAACACCUCGGCUUGCCUCUGGUUCGGAGGAGGACGAUGUUGUGCGUUCUCCUUUGUGCCAAAACACAAACCCCGGCGCUGAAUGCGUCAAGGAAUUUAAAAUUUGCUCUGAGCGCACCUGCAUGGCACCGGAGACGGUUUUCGUGCGGGUUGUGUUCUGACACAUAAUAUAGAAUGACUCUCGGCAACGGAUAUCUAGGCUCUUGCAUCGAUGAAGAACGUAGCGAAAUGCGAUACUUGGUGUGAAUUGCAGAAUCCCGUGAACCAUCGAGUCUUUGAACGCAAGUUGCGCCCGAUGCCAUUAGGUUGAGGGCACGUCUGCCUGGGCGUCACAUAUCGAAGCCUCUCGCCAAUUUCCUAUAUUGAUAGGGGUAUUGUGCAGGGCGAAUGUUGGCCUCCCGUGAGCUYUAUUGCCUCAUGGUUGGUUGAAAAUCGAGACCUUGGUAGGGUGUGCCAUGAUAGGUGGUGGCUGUGUUACGCACGAGACCAAGUAAGUCAUGUGCUGCUCUAUUGAAUUUAGGCCUCUUUUACCCACAUGCGUUUCGAAACGCUCGUGAUGAGACCUCAGGUCAGGCGGGGCUACCCGCUGAAUUUAAGCAUAUCAAUACGCCGCCAGGAAAGAA
rnacentral:rRNA from 1 species